CCAAUAGCGUAUAUUAAAGUUGUUGCAGUUAAAAAGCUCGUAGUUGAAUUUCGAGAUCAGUACGCUGGUCGUGCCUUCGGUAUGCACUGGUGUCACUGGUUUCUCCCUUCUGAAGAACCGUCAUGCCAUUCAGUUGGUGUGGCGGGGAAUCAGGACUGUUACUUUGAAAAAAUUAGAGUGUUUAAAGCAGGCUCGCGCUUGAAUACAUUAGCAUGGAAUAAUGGAAUAGGACGUUUGACCCUAUUUUGUUGGUUUCUAGGAUCGACGUAAUGAUUAAUAGGGAUAGUUGGGGGCAUUAGUAUUCAAUUGUCAGAGGUGAAAUUCUUGGAUUUAUUGAAGACUAACUACUGCGAAAGCAUUUGCCAAGGAUGUUUUCAUUAAUCAAGAACGAAAGUUAGGGGAUCGAAGACGAUCAGAUACCGUCGUAGUCUUAACCAUAAACUAUGCCGACUAGGGAUCGGAUGAUGUUAAUUUUUUAAUGACUCAUUCGGCGCCUUACG
rnacentral:rRNA from 1 species